GAUGAACGCUGGCGGCGUGCCUAAUACAUGCAAGUCGAGCGAACGGACGAGAAGCUUGCGUCUCUGAUGUUAGCGGCGGACGGGUGAGUAACACGUGGAUAACCUACCUAUCAGACUGGGAUAUCUUCGGGAAACCGGCGCUAAUACCGGAGAAUAUUUUGAACCGCAUGGUUCAAAAGUGAAAGUCGGUCUUGCUGUCACUUAUAGAUGGAUCCGCGCUGCAUUAGCUAGUUGGUAAGGUAACGGCUUACCAAGGCAACGAUGCAUAGCCGACCUGAGAGAGUGAUCGGCCACCCUGGAGCUGGGACACGGUCCAGACUCCUACGGGAGGCAGCAGUAGGGAAUCUUACGCAAUGGGCGAAAGCCUGACGGAGCAACGCCGCGUGAGUGAUGAAGGUCUUCGGAUCGUGAAACUCUGUUAUGAGGGAAGAACAUAUGUGUAAGUAACUGUGCACAUCUUGACGGUAACUAAUCAGAAAGCCACGGCUAACUACGUG
rnacentral:rRNA from 1 species